CAGCAGCCGCGGUAAUACGGAGGGAGCUAGCGUUGUUCGGAAUUACUGGGCGUAAAGCGCGCGUAGGCGGUUACUCAAGUCAGAGGUGAAAGCCCGGGGCUCAACCCUGGAACUGCCUUUGAAACUAGGUGACUAGAAUCUUGGAGAGGUCAGUGGAAUUCCGAGUGUAGAGGUGAAAUUCGUAGAUAUUCGGAAGAACACCAGUGGCGAAGGCGACUGACUGGACAAGUAUUGACGCUGAGGUGCGAAAGCGUGGGGAGCAAACAGGAUUAGAUACCCCGGUAGUCCCUGUCUCUUAUAC
rnacentral:rRNA from 1 species